CAAACGCUGGCGGCGUGCCUAACACAUGCAAGUCGAACGAGAAAUUCCCUGCUUGCAGGGAAGAGUAAAGUGGCGCACGGGUGAGUAACGCGUGGGUAACCUACCUUUGAAUUCGGAAUAACCAGCCGAAAGGCUGACUAAUACCGGAUACGGUUUUUUAGGCUUUGGCCUUUUAAAUUAAAGGUGACCUCUUCAUGAAAGUUGCCGUUCAUAGAUGGGCCCGCGUACCAUUAGCUAGUUGGUGGGGUAAUGGCCUACCAAGGCGACGAUGGUUAGCUGGUCUGAGAGGAUGAUCAGCCACACUGGAACUGGAACACGGUCCAGACUCCUACGGGAGGCAGCAGUGAGGAAUUUUGCGCAAUGGGGGAAACCCUGACGCAGCAACGCCGCGUGAGCGAAGAAGGCCCUCGGGUCGUAAAGCUCUGUCAAGUGGGAAAAAAAUCUUUUGAUCAAUAGUCAAAAGACUUGAUGGUACCACUGGAGGAAGCACCGGCUAACUCC
rnacentral:rRNA from 1 species